ensembl:lncRNA
AUAUAAUUUGAUUCUUUGUCUCAAGUGUUUAAAACAAUGUGAGCUGAAAACAGCAAAUAAAACUGUUAUUAAUUCUCAUUAUUUAGUCAUAUCAAAUGUAUAAGUUCUAUUAUAUCUCUAUUCACAUUUCUUAUUUCCAUUUUAUUACAGAUUCUAUAAUCAGAGUGUAAGUGUUGAAAGCAGAUUUCUUCUGAGUCUCUUCAUUAAAGCAGCAGAGACUGAGACACAGACAGGAGAGCAGAUGCUGAAACUGUUAUCAUCAGUCUGUAACUACAGAUCUUUUCCUUAUGAAACGACUGACAGCGUUAAUCAGAGUGAUUUUCUGCUGGAUCUUUACUCACAUGUGAAGAACUAUGAGACUCAAAAAGGCAGGAGUUUUCUUCCAGAAUUACAGUCAGUUUUUCAGUCACCUGAUGUCUGGAUCAUAGAUCUCUCACAGAGAAAGAUCUCUGUCCUCCUGGAAGUGCUCAAACUCCAAACAAAGAAGAAACAAGUAGAGCUGAGAGGAUGUUCAGAGCAAGAGAGUGAAAUGAAGAGUUUCCUGCAGGGUCUGCCCUACAUCUCACAGCUGAGGUUUUGGAUCGAUGAUGAAGAAAGAACAUCUGCAGUAAGAUUCCUGCUGAAUCUCAGCGCCUCUGCAGUAAGAAAUGACACAAAUACAGGAACAAAAUUCUCUUCUUUGCUAUCAUCUGUGUGCAGUUACAAUACCUUCCCUUUUGGUGAAGAAUGGGAUGAUUAUAUUGCUGUUGAGCAGAGUGAUUUCCUGCUGGAUCUUUGCUCACAUGUGAAGAACUAUGAGAAUCAAACAGGCAGGAGUUUUCUUCCAGCAUUACAGUCAGUUUUUCAGUCACCUGAUGUCUGGAUCAUAGAUCUCUCACAGAGAAAGAGCUCUGUUCUCCUGGAAGUGCUCAAACUCCAAACAAAGAAGAAACCAGUAAAGCUGAGAGGAUGUUCAGAGGAAGAGAGUGAAAUGAUGAGUUUCCUGCAGUGUCUGCAACACAUCUCACAGCUGAGAUUUUCUUAUCAGAGUGAAAGUGUUCAGAGAAGAUUUCUUCUGAGUCUCUUCAUUAAAGCAGCAGAGACUGAGACACAGACAGGAGAGCAGAUGCUGAAACUGUUAUCAUCAGUCUGUAACUACAGAUCUUUUCCUUAUGAAUGGACUGACAGCGUUAAUCAGAGUGAUUUACUGCUGGAUCUUUACUCACAUGUGAAGAACUAUGAGACUCAAACAGGCAGGAGUUUUCUUCCAGCAUUACAGUCAGUUUUUCAGUCACCUGAUGUCUGGAUCAUAGAUCUCUCACAGAGAAAGAGCUCUGUCCUCCUGGAAGUGCUCAAACUCCAAACAGAGAAGAAACCAGUAGAGCUGAGAGGAUGUUCAGAGCAAGAGAGUGAAAUGAUGAGUUUCCUGCAGUGUCUGCAACACAUCUCACAGCUGAGGUAAGAGAAUCUUUCUCCAGUUGGUAUUUGUUUUGUCAUUUACCUCACCUGUCCUCUCUCAUUAUCCUUCUCAUUCGUGUCCUUUUGUUUUCUGUUCUGUGCCUGAUUGUCAUCUAAUGUGUUCUCCCUGCAUGUUUUGAUGUUCCCCACUGUAUCCAGCUCAUCUCUGCCCUGUCUUGCCUUGUUGUGUAUUAUAAUACAGGUCAUUGAACUUCAGUCAGUGCUUCAGUCCCCACAAUCCAUUUAACCAAAACUUUACAUAAAGUUGUUGUUAUAACUUUGAACAUGUUUUAAGUAUUUAAUUAGUCUUUUAGAUUUUCCACACUAAAUACAAUGCUAUUUCAAUUGUAAUGGGCCAUGUUAAUUUAUCUAGUGAUUUUAAUCAAGUAUUUAUUGCCUUUUUCAGUUGUUCUGAGCAGUAUUUGUUAACUCUAGUUAAACUGGUCCAGUUCAGAGAGAAUCUACAGCUGGUGCCUUCACUGCUUGAGGUUCUUGGCUUCUCUGUAAGUCUGGAAGGACAAUUACCCAGCAAAACCUGCAGGUCUGUGGGGGGAGUCUUGUGUUUCUCUUCUGACAGACUCAACCUCAGUCUAAAACCUAAAGCCAUCUCUGUCAGAGGAACAAGGCUUCUCUUCAGACACAUCACAAACAUGCACACACUCAGGUACAGACAGCAUUAUACAUGAACUUAAAGGCACAACAUGUAAGUUUCUCUGCUAGAGAUCAUUUACUCAAAACAAUAACAAAGAUGUAGCUGGAUGAUACAGUGACAGAGCAUGGAAUCAUAGGAUUUUUCGUUUUAUGGGGUUAUUUUUGGUGACACAAAGACAUGGACCAUUUCACUGGUUAAAAUUGAGAAUUUCUCUGGCAUUGUUGGAAACUUUUAGCAUAAUGUAAGUACACAGGUUUUUAGCAUUUUUUGAAUAUUUUAUUGCAAAAAUCUUACAUAUUGUGCCUUUAACAUUUUAAAAGCUAUUUUUUUUUCUAGAUGAGGAUUUGCUUAGAUUUACAGUGUGUUUUUUCUUUUUAGACUGAGUGGUUAUAUGGUGGUGAGAAUAGCGCAGGCAUUGCAGUCUAUGAGGGUUCGAGCUCCCAUCGCUGUUAAUGAACUCACACUUGAUCCAAAUGAUAAACAGCUGUCAGAGAGGAAUCUGUCCAGGAUCGUGAGCAGUUUGGCCAUCCUUCUGAGACUCUGGACUGUCCAGUGUUUGAACUUGACUGAAUACAAGAUUCAGUCUGUUUCUGUGUCUGUCCUACUGUGUCAUCAGGGACCUGUGAUUCUCAGGUCUGACUAUAAGACAAAUUUUAAUAGUGUUUGACUUUGUAUUUAUCAUGGCAUAGAAAUAAAACAAUGAAUUCUGUAUGUUUAGACCA